UGGAUUUGUGGCGCGGUCGUCCGGCGGGGCUUCCGGGUUCAUUGUAUCCCGGGGCCGUUUGUCUGGGUUCUUGGCCGCCCCAUUCUUCGGUAGCGUGUCGCUGGCAUUAGGUUGUCGGCUUCUUCGCGCCGAUCGUUUACUGUGAAAAAA
rnacentral:rRNA from 1 species